GAUCAUGGCUCAGGAUGAACGCUAGCUACAGGCUUAACACAUGCAAGUCGAGGGGAAACGACAUCGAAAGCUUGCUUUUGAUGGGCGUCGACCGGCGCACGGGUGAGUAACGCGUAUCCAACCUGCCCACACUUGGGAUAACCUUGCGAAAGUAAGACUAAUACCCGAUGAUAUCCCUAGAAGACAUCUGAAAAGGGAUUAAAGAUUUUAUCGGUGAUGGAUGGGGAUGCGUCUGAUUAGCUUGUUGGCGGGGUAACGGCCCACCAAGGCAACGAUCAGUAGGGGUUCUGAGAGGAAGGUCCCCCACAUUGGAACUGAGACACGGUCCAAACUCCUACGGGAGGCAGCAGUGAGGAAUAUUGGUCAAUGGGCGAGAGCCUGAACCAGCCAAGUAGCGUGCAGGAUGACGGCCCUAUGGGUUGUAAACUGCUUUUAUAAGGGAAUAAAGUGAGCCUCGUGAGGCUUUUUGCAUGUACCUUAUGAAUAAGGACCGGCUAAUUCCGUG
rnacentral:rRNA from 1 species